GAGCUUCACUGCGGCUUGGCUUGGAUUAAUGAAUCUGGGGCUGUUUCUUACAAAAGCACCAUUGGCAGCCAAAAAAGCAUUAAUUUGGAAAGGGAAGGAAGGCCAUACUGAGGAGCAGCUGAGAGCCAAGGACCCAGAAGCAGAGCUCUGGAGUUCAUGCUGGGCUUGCCUUUAAGUAGCUUUGCUGAAGCUGGCACUACAAGCUGAGCAAUGGAGACCAGAAUGCCUGGAGCCCUUGGGGAAGGUCUCACCCAAGCUCAGAGCAAGCACUGCUAAGGAGGAGGGCAACAUGAAAAGACGGGAGGAAACCAGUGCUAAAGGAAAGCAAUGCAUGUUCCUAUCUCACACAGCUCUGCAGAGUAAAGAAAACCCUUGCCUUCCUGGGUUGUCACCGAGAAUGGGAACAUCAAUGGAGUCCCAGGGGUUUCCUCCCAGCUCCACUUUAGAGAACCUUAGCAAGCAGAGGUCCAGGCUAAUGUGUCUCCCAAGGAUUUUGGCUUCAGACACCAUCGAUGUGAACUCUCCGGUGUGUGAAUUACCUGAGCGCUGGAUGGCUGCCUCAUGGGAAUGAUGGUUGCAUCAAGCAUUCUAGCUUCACCUUCAGUACUGCCACAAGACAGUCUGUCAACAAAGGCUGUUUACCUCAUAUUGGAUAAGCAGUGUUUGAGAAAAAUAAACUCUGCAUGGACAAAAUGCUUUGAGCUUCUUGUAUGGACUCUGCCUUCUCUGAAGACCAGAGCUCUCUCAUGAGUUCGUGAAAUUUGAGCCUCGGAGAUUCAUCUGUCUAAUUAGUUCCUGUCUCUAUAUUUGAUUCCCAGCUGCCAGUUUCACAAUCUUAACACUUAAAAGACUUGGAAAACCCAGGAGAUAUGUUCAGUCUGUCAAAGACACCCUAAAAUCAAAACAAACAAACAAACAAACAAACAAAAAAGAGCCAUUAACUCCCAUCUUUAAAUUUUGUACCAACCAGUCUAUCUCCUUGUCUUACCCAGGCCUCCCAACAAGAAAGAUUCAAACUAUGAAGCCCAUUUUCCCACAAGCAAAGAUGUUCACGGGCUUCUAGAAGAGGAAGAAAGGUCAAAGGUCAUUUAGUCUCAUCCAUCCAGUUUGAAUAGAUUCAAGGAUCUGGGUAGAUGGCCUGGGAGCCCCAUAGCACAGGGGAGAGAUUUGACACAGCAAAAGACUGUUUGAACUUUCAGAUUCCAGACACCCUCCACCAGCAAGCCCCAUAAAAUGGGUGACAUCAAAGGACAAUGGGGAUGGAGGAAUCUACGUCUGCCAUUACUUCUUCUUUGGAUCCUCUUGACUAAGUCAACAUUCCUCAGACUUUGUUUGACGACCAAGAAUUGUUGGGUUGGAUGUUUUGUAGAAUAGCUCUCAAUGGAAGCUUCAUUGUUCUUGUCUUUUUUUCAUAAUUAGACUGAGGCUAUGGAUUUGGGGUGGAGGAGGUGGUGGAGGUAUAUUGUCCUCCCUGUUGCACACACCCGGAGGUCCAGGCUAUGGUGGACCAAGCUAACUGUGGGAGUUAGCUUUGAGCCCCUCUGUAAAGCAGUUCCCACAUUUAUUCCUCUGCUCUAGCCCUUGAAGCAAGCUCCUAGCCAUGCUCAGAAGGGGUUUUCUCUACAUGUCUGUGUGUACACAUUUGUAUGGGAGAGUGCAUACAUAUGUGUGCCUAUGUACAUGUGGAGACCAGAAGACAGCCUUGGAUAUUACACCUCAGGAGCUGCCUUUUUUUUUUAAAUUGAGACAGAAUAAUCUUAUAGAGACCUGGGGCUCUGUGAAUCUGAAUCAGUUAAACUGUCUGGUCAGAUAACACCACACUGGCCUUGAACUUGUGAUCCUUCUGUCUCUGCCUCCCUCAGUAAUUCCUAAGGACAUGCACCACCAUAGCCAGCUAGAAAGCCCCAGAGACAGUCCUAUCUCCGCCUCCCCGGUGCUGCGAUUACAAGCAUCUGACACCACUGAGCUGUUUUAUGUUGACUCUGGGGCUCGAACAGAUCCUCCUGGAUGCAUGGCAGGCCCUUUACUAGCUGAAGUAUCUCCUCUGCCAGGUCAUCAAUCUGUACAUAGUGAACUGGCAGGACACAUGGGAUUGCCUAACCCCAUGCUAAGGCUGUGGCUGCCACCAGAUCUUUCCUUUCAGGAGAUCAACUCAAGAGGGGAUUCGCCCAUUAUCAGAAGCUUCUGAGCUACCAUUCUGUAAUUUAAUCAAACCUUCUGCAUCAAAAAGCACCCUUGACAGCAAGAAGUACCCACUCUCUAGUAGGAGCACUCUCCUCUCUUUUCAGUGGCUUUGCACUGGCUCUUGUUUUGAGCUGAGUCCUGACAAGGAGCGUGUGGCUUGUGAAAUAGCAUUUUUUUUGGGGGGGUGGAGGCGAACAGAAGGAUGUAUGCCACACAAGCUUGUGGUGGCAUGUGUGCUUCCUUGUUCCUCUGAACUUUCUACUGGGAAGCAAAGCUUCCAUCUAGUCCUGUGUUGCCCUGGUCCCUGCAUCGUGGGCUUGGGAAAUCCAGCCUGUAUCCUGGAUCCUGGCAACAGCUUCUUGCCCAUAGGAGACGAAACACAAGACGCCAUUAGGGCAGCCCUCUGAGCACCCUUAACCCGAAAUGAAUCCGGGAAGGCACUUGAGAUGCUGAGGUAGUGUGACAUGGACCCUGGCACACAGACUACUGCCUCCCAUAACUAUGGCUCUAGGAAUAGACUAUUGGGCACAUUAUAAUAUUCAUAAAUGCCUUGAAAUUGCUUUGAGAGAGAGAGAGAGAGAGAGAGA